ACGGAGGGUGCAAGCGUUAAUCGGAAUUACUGGGCGUAAAGGGCACGCAGGUGGCUUGGCAAGUCGGAUGUGAAAGCCCCGGGCUUAACUUGGGAGUUGCAUUCGAUACUGCCGAGCUAGAGUAUGGGAGAGGAAAGCGGAAUUCCCGGUGUAGCGGUGAAAUGCGUAGAUAUCGGGAGGAACAUCUGUGGCGAAGGCGACUGCCUGGACCAGCACUGACACUGAGGCACGAAAGCGUGGGGAGCAAACAGGA
rnacentral:rRNA from 1 species